CUUUGAUUUGAUGUUCUAAAAAUGUUUAGAAUUGAUCAACAAUAGGAGCUUCAUUAUUCCAAACAGAUAAACAGGGUUUUGUAUGACCAAUAUACACAGUUGUAACAGGUCCGCGAUGACCUGAGGUAAGUUGCGCUACCAUAAAUAAAACUAAACUUAAUAACAGAGGCCCGUUCGCCCGAGAUUAAGCCGGGAUACUAAAUGGGUGUUGUUAGGUAGGACGGAUGUCUUGUACAAAUAAUAACUAACAGGAUAAUUUAACCUACUCAUCACAUGGAUAGUGUCCAAAAAGGAGGAGAGGGAAGCCUAAGUAGUGAAGGGAGAUACGAGAUAUUGGUGUACUUUACAAAUCCUCCGACACAACCAGAAAUAAGAGGUUAACUAGGGAUUUAUGACCCCUGGGUAAUGGCUUAUAGUUGUAUAGGUAAGACCUAAUAUCCGAUCGACAGUCAACGCUAUAGAUAAAGUUUCGAGAGAGGAGAAAACACAAAUAGAAAUCCAUACACAUAUAUGGUAAGCAUUUAAUGGCUUGAAUAUGCCUUCAAUUGAUACAGACUCCCAUGACUGUCUAGAAGAAGAAUUUAAGCCUGAGGAGAUUGCAACAGCAGUGCCCGCAAUGAAAAGUGGUAAAUCAACGGGUCCGGACUGUUUUCCAACCAAAUUUUACAGGACGUCUUCUGGUCUGCUUUGGCCAUACUUGUCUCGACUAUUUGCAGAGUGCCUUAAUACUUCAAAGCUACCACCUAGUCUUUAUCAGGCUUCAAUUUCAUUACUAUUAAAGAAAAACAAAGACACAUCCCCCUGGAAUGUGGAUCCUAUCGCCCAAUCUCGCUUUUAAACUGUGAUUACAAAAUCCUAGCUAAGCUUUUAGCCAUCCGUAUGGAAGGCUUGCUGCACCAAGUAAUACACUCUGACCAGACUGGCUUUGUGAGAAACUGGCAUUUAUUUUUCAAUAUUAGGCGCCUUAUGAAUAUACUGUACUCCCCAGCGUCGGAGGACCCGGAGGUAGUGGUCUCACUUGAUGCGGAAAAAGCAUUUGACCGCGUUGAGUCGGAUUACCUAACAGCUGCCCUUUAUAGAUUUGGCUUUGGCCCAAAAUUCAUUGCGUGGACAAAGAUUCUUUAUUUUUCUCACAUGGCUUUGGUACGGACUAAUAACUUGUCCUCUGACUAUUUUCCCUUGCAUUGCGGAUCCAGACAGGGUUGUCCACUCUCCCCCUUGUUGUUUGCUUUGGCAAUCGAGCCUCUCGCCAUUGCACUACGCUCUAAUGAUGCCAUUCAAGGUAUAACCAGGGCGGGCUUGGAGCAGAAAGUCUCGCUAUAUGCUGACGACCUCCUUUUUGUUUAUCUCCAACCCUGAUACCUCAUUGCCACGUGCCCUAUCUGUUCUUAAAAAGUUUGGAUCAAUCUCAGGGUACAAGCUGAAUCUAGGUAAGAGUGAGAUUUUUCUGGUACAUAAGGCUGCUUUAAAGUGCUCUUUUACAAGUUCUCAGUUUAGGAUUGUCCGGGAUCAAUUCACCUACUUGGGAGUUAAAGUGACAAGGAAAUAUUCCAAUUUGUUUCAGGAAAACUUUGUUGCUCUAGCAGACAGUUUGAAUGUCACGUUCUGACCUUGAUUUCCUUUUGUUUUGUCAUUAUUUAGUAUGGUCAGGGUGUGAGUUGGGUUGGGCAGUCUAUGUUUAGUUUUUCUAUGAUUUGGGUAUUUCUAUGUUUCGGCCUAGUAUGGUUCUCAAUCAGAGGCAGGUGUCAUUAGUUGUCUCUGAUUGAGAAUCAUACUUAGGUAGCCUGGGUUUCACUGUGUGUUUGUGGGUGAUUGUUCCUGUCUCUGUGUUUUGCACCAGAUAGGGCUGUUUUGGGUUUUCACGUUUCUUGUUUUUGUUAGUUUGUUCAUGUGAAGUGAUUUAUUAAAACAUGAAUCAAAAUAACCACGCUGCGCUUUGGUCCGCCUCUCCGUCAAUGGAAGAAAUCCCUUACAGAAUCCCCCACCACAACAGGACCAAGCGGCGUGGUAAACAGCAGCUGCAGCAAAAGCAGCAGCAGGAGAAGGAACAGCAACAGCGAGGUCAGGAUUUCGGGACAUGGGAGCAGAAUCUGGACUACACAACUUGGGAGGAGAUAGACAGGUGGGCGGUCGACCCAGGGAGAGUGCCGGAGCCCGCCUGGGAUUCGAUGGAGCAGUGCGAGGAAGGUUACAGGAGAAUGAGGUUGGCGAAGCCAGCACGGCAGCGAGACAGUUACGAGAGGCAGCCCCCCAAAAAAUUUUGGGGGGGGGCAGACGAGGUGUGGUACAAUGCCAGGUAGCAGACCUGAGCUCACUCCUCGUGCUUAUUAUAAGCAGCGCAUUACCGGUCAGGCACCGUGUUAUGCGGUUAAGUACACGGUGUCGCCAGUACGUGCCCAUAGCCCGGUGCGCUAUAGGGCAGCCCCGAAAGUGCCAUGCGAGUGUGGGCAUUGAGCCAGGGCGUAUGGUGCCUGCUCAGCGGGUCUGGUCGCCGGUACGCAGUUUUGGUCCAGGGUAUCCUGCGCCGGCUCUGCGUGCUGUGUCUCCGGGGGGCUGGGAGGGUGCAGUGCGUCCUCUGCCUGUACUUCGCUCGUGCCGGGCAAAUGUGGGAGUGGAGCCUAAGGGAGAGGUGCGUGUAGUAAGCACUAGAUCUCCCGUGCUUACCCACAGCCCGGUUCAACCUGUGCCUCCUAACACCAAGCCUCCUGAAGGUCUCCCCAGCCUGGUGGUUCCUGUGGCAGCCCCACGCACCAGGCUGUCUCUCUGUCUCCUCCCUGCAGGUGGUCCCGCCUGUCCGGCGCUGCUGCCGGAGUCUCCCGCCUGUCCGGCGCUGCUGCCGGAGUCUCCCGCCUGUCCGGCGCUGCUGCCGGAGUCUCCCGCCUGUCCGGCGCUGCUGCCGGAGUCUGAGGCGCCAGAGCCCCUCAGCCUAGAGGCGCCAGAGCCCCUGCCCCUCUGUCCAGAGCUUCUGCCCCUCUGUCCAGAGCUUCUGCCCCUCUGUCCAGAGCUUCUGCCCCUCUGUCCCGAGCUGCUGCCCCUCUGUCCCGAGCUGCUGCCCCUCUGUCCCGAGCUGCCCCUCUGUCCAGUGGGGUUAUUGAGAAGGGUGGCCAUGGUUAGAAAGCCACGGAGGCGGACAAUAAGGCGGACUAAGACAAUGGUGAAGUGGGGUCCGCGUCCCAUGCCAGAGCCACCACCGCGGACAGACGCCCACCCAGACCCUCCCCUAUAGGUUAAGGUUUUGCAGCCGGAGUCCGCACCUUUGGGGGGGGGAUACUGUCACGUUCUGACCUUUUAUUUCCUUUGUUUUGUCAUUAUUUAGCAUGGUCAGGGCGUGAGUUGGGGUGGGCAGUCUGUUUGUUUUUCUAUGAUUUGGGUAUUUCUAUGUUUCGGCCUAGUAUGGUUCUCAAUCAGAGGCAGGUGUCAUUAGUUGUCUCUGAUUGAGAAUCAUACUUAGGUAGCCUGGGUUUCAUUGUGUGUUUGUGGGUGAUUGUUCCUGUCUCUGUGUUUUGCACCAGAUAGGGCUGUUUUGGGUUUUCACGUUUCUUGUUUUUGUUAGUUUGUUCAUGUGAAGUGAUUUAUUAAAACAUGAAUCAAAAUAACCACGCUGCACUUUGGUCCGCCUCUCC
ensembl:lncRNA